rnacentral:rRNA from 1 species
CCUACGGGAGUCAGCAGUAGGGAAUAUUGCUCAAUGGGGGAAACCCUGAAGCAGCAACGCCGCGUGGAGGAUGAAGGUUUUCGGAUUGUAAACUCCUUUUGUUAGAGAAGAUAAUGACGUUAUCUAACGAAUAAGCACCGGCUACCUCCGUGCCAGCAGCCGCGGUAAUACGGAGGGUGCAAGCGUUACUCGGAAUCACUGGGCGUAAAGAGCGCGUAGGAGGGAUAGCAAGUCAGAUGUGAAAUCCUAUGGCCUAACCAUAGAACUGCAUUUGAAACUGUUAUUCUAGAGUAGGGGAGAGGUAGGUGGAAUUCUUGGUGGAGGGGUAAAAUCCGUAGAGAUCAAGAGGAAUACUCAUUGCGAAGGCGACCUGCUAGAACAUAACUGACGCUGAUGCGCGAAAGCGUGGGGAGCAAACAGGAUUAGAUACCCCUGUAGUC